rnacentral:rRNA from 1 species
UACGGGGGGGGCAAGCGUUGUUCGGAAUUACUGGGCGUAAAGGGCUCGUAGGUGGCCAACUAAGUCAGACGUGAAAUCCCUCGGCUUAACCGGGGAACUGCGUCUGAUACUGGAUGGCUUGAGUUCGGGAGAGGGAUGCGGAAUUCCAGGUGUAGCGGUGAAAUGCGUAGAUAUCUGGAGGACCACCGGUGGCGAAGGCGGCAUCCUGGACCGACACUGACACUGAGGAGCGAAAGCCAGGGGAGCAAACGGG